rnacentral:rRNA from 1 species
AUACGUAGGGAGCGAGCGUUGUCCGGAAUUACUGGGUGUAAAGGGAGCGUAGGCGGGAGUGCAAGUCAGAUGUGAAAUACAUGGGCUCAACCCAUGGGCUGCAUUUGAAACUGCAUUUCUUGAGUGAAGUAGAGGUAAGCGGAAUUCCUGGUGUAGCGGUGAAAUGCGUAGAUAUCAGGAGGAACACCGGUGGCGAAGGCGGUUUACUGGGCUUUUACUGACGCUGAGGCUCGAAAGCGUGGGGAGCUAACAGGAUUAGAUACCCUGGUAGUCCACGCUGUAAACGAUGAUUACUAGGUGUGUGGGGACUGACCCCUUCCGUGCCGCAGUUAACACAAUAAGUAAUCCACCUGGGGAGUACGGCCGCAAGGUUGAAACUCAAAGGAAUUGACGGGG